rnacentral:rRNA from 1 species
UACAGAGGUCCCAAGCGUUGUUCGGAUUUACUGGGCGUAAAGGGUGCGUAGGUGGCGAGGUAAGUUCGAUGUGAAAUCUCCGAGCUCAACUCGGAAAUGGCAUUGAAUACUAUCCCGCUUGAGGGUCGGAGGGGAGACUGGAAUUCUCGGUGUAGCAGUGAAAUGCGUAGAUAUCGAGAGGAACACCAGUGGCGAAGGCGAGUCUCUGGACGACUCCUGACACUGAGGCACGAAAGCUGGGGGAGCAAACGGG